GAUGAACGCUGGCGGCGUGCCUAAUACAUGCAAGUCGAGCGAAUGGAUUAAGAGCUUGCUCUUAUGAAGUUAGCGGCGGACGGGUGAGUAACACGUGGGUAACCUGCCCAUAAGACUGGGAUAACUCCGGGAAACCGGGGCUAAUACCGGAUAACAUUUUGAACCGCAUAGUUCGAAAUUGAAAGGCGGCUUCGGCUGUCACUUAUGGAUGGACCCGCGUCGCAUUAGCUAGUUGGUGAGGUAACGGCUCACCAAGGCAACGAUGCGUAGCCGACCUGAGAGGGGGAUCGGCCACACUGGGACUGAGAGAAGGACCAGACUACUACGGGAGGCAGCAGUAGGGAAUCUUCCGCAAUGGACGAAAGUCUGACGGAGCAACGCCGCGUGAGUGAUGAAGGCUUUCGGGUCGUAAAACUCUGUUGUUAGGGAAGAACAAGUGCUAGUUGAAUAAGCUGGCACCUUGACGGUACCUAACCAGAAAGCCACGGCUAACUACGUGCCAGCAGCCGCGGUAA
rnacentral:rRNA from 1 species